UGCAAGUCGAGCGGACAGAUGGGAGCUUGCUCCCUGAUGUUAGCGGCGGACGGGUGAGUAACACGUGGGUAACCUGCCUGUAAGACUGGGAUAACUCCGGGAAACCGGGGCUAAUACCGGAUGGUUGUUUGAACCGCAUGGUUCAAACAUAAAAGGUGGCUUCGGCUACCACUUACAGAUGGACCCGCGGCGCAUUAGCUAGUUGGUGAGGUAACGGCUCACCAAGGCGACGAUGCGUAGCCGACCUGAGAGGGUGAUCGGCCACACUGGGACUGAGACACGGCCCAGACUCCUACGGGAGGCAGCAGUAGGGAAUCUUCCGCAAUGGACGAAAGUCUGACGGAGCAACGCCGCGUGAGUGAUGAAGGUUUUCGGAUCGUAAAGCUCUGUUGUUAGGGAAGAACAAGUACCGUUCGAAUAGGGCGGUACCUUGACGGUACCUAACCAGAAAGCCACGGCUAACUACGUGCCAGCAGCCGCGGUAAUACGUAGGUGGCAAGCGUUGUCCGGAAUUAUUGGGCGUAAAGGGCUCGCAGGCGGUUUCUUAAGUCUGAUGUGAAAGCCCCCGGCUCAACCGGGGAGGGUCAUUGGAAACUGGGGAACUUGAGUGCAGAAGAGGAGAGUGGAAUUCCACGUGUAGCGGUGAAAUGCGUAGAGAUGUGGAGGAACACCAGUGGCGAAGGCGACUCUCUGGUCUGUAACUGACGCUGAGGAGCGAAAGCGUGGGGAGCGAACAGGAUUAGAUACCCUGGUAGUCCACGCCGUAAACGAUGAGUGCUAAGUGUUAGGGGGUUUCCGCCCCUUAGUGCUGCAGCUAACGCAUUAAGCACUCCGCCUGGGGAGUACGGUCGCAAGACUGAAACUCAAAGGAAUUGACGGGGGCCCGCACAAGCGNUGGAGCAUGUGGUUUAAUUCGAAGCAACGCGAAGAACCUUACCAGGUCUUGACAUCCUCUGACAAUCCUAGAGAUAGGACGUCCCCUUCGGGGGCAGAGUGACAGGUGGUGCAUGGUUGUCGUCAGCUCGUGUCGUGAGAUGUUGGGUUAAGUCCCGCAACGAGCGCAACCCUUGAUCUUAGUUGCCAGCAUUCAGUUGGGCACUCUAAGGUGACUGCCGGUGACAAACCGGAGGAAGGUGGGGAUGACGUCAAAUCAUCAUGCCCCUUAUGACCUGGGCUACACACGUGCUACAAUGGACAGAACAAAGGGCAGCGAAACCGCGAGGUUAAGCCAAUCCCACAAAUCUGUUCUCAGUUCGGAUCGCAGUCUGCAACUCGACUGCGUGAAGCUGGAAUCGCUAGUAAUCGCGGAUCAGCAUGCCGCGGUGAAUACGUUCCCGGGCCUUGUACACACCGCCCGUCACACCACGAGAGUUUGUAACACCCGAAGUCGGUGAGGUAACCUUUUAGGAGCCAGCCGCC
rnacentral:rRNA from 2 species